GACUCCGUGUUGUAGCAGUUGCUACACCCGCCUGGAAAACAGGAGACGUAGGUUCAAAUCCUACCGGUGUCU
rfam:Oryctes borbonicus contig18680, whole genome shotgun sequence.